GGAGUUUGUGCAGAAGGUUCUGUAUUUUGACUGCAAAUCGAAAUUUAGGGAUUCGAGUUCCCCUAACUCCUU
rnacentral:tRNA from 1 species